rnacentral:rRNA from 1 species
ACAUCAGAGAUUAUCUGGGUACAGUCCUUGCUUCAGGAGUUAAGUAUACCCCAAUCACAGCCUCCUGUUCUUUGGUGUGAUAACAUCGGUGCUACAUAUCUUUCUGCAAAUCCGGUAUUCCAUGCCCGAACGAAACACAUUGAAGUUGACUAUCACUUUGUGCGUGAACGUGUCUCUCAGAAGCAACUACAGAUCAAGUUUAUUUCUUCCAAGGAUCAACUUGCUGACAUCUUCACCAAGCCAUUGCCUUUGCCACAGUUUGAGACUUGCAGGCGCAAUCUUACCCUUCUAGAUUCAUUAGAAAGUGGCUAA